UACGAAGGGGGCUAGCGUUGCUCGGAAUCACUGGGCGUAAAGGGUGCGUAGGCGGGUCUUUAAGUCCGGGGUGAAAUCCUGGAGCUCAACUCCAGAACUGCCUUUGAUACUGAAGAUCUUGAGUUCGGGAGAGGUGAGUGGAACUGCGAGUGUAGAGGUGAAAUUCGUAGAUAUUCGCAAGAACACCAGUGGCGAAGGCGGCUGACUGGUCCGGUUCUGACGCUGAGGCGCGAAAGCGUGGGGAGCAAACAGG
rnacentral:rRNA from 1 species